UGAGGAAUCUUGCGCAAUGGGCGAAAGCCUGACGCAGCGACGCCGCGUGAGAGAUGAAGGCCUUCGGGUUGUAAACCUCUGUCAGGGGGGAAGAAUCCGGAAUCGGUGAAUAACCGAUUCCAUUGACGGUACCCCCAGAGGAAGCACCGGCUAACUCCGUG
rnacentral:rRNA from 1 species